GAUGAACGCUGGCGGCGUGCCUAAUACAUGCAAGUCGAGCGAACGGACGAGAAGCUUGCUUCUCUGAUGUUAGCGGCGGACGGGUGAGUAACACGUGGAUAACCUACCUAUAAGACUGGGAUAACUUCGGGAAACCGGAGCUAAUACCGGAUAAUAUUUUGAACCGCAUGGUUCAAAAGUGAAAGACGGUCUUGCUGUCACUUAUAGAUGGAUCCGCGCUGCAUUAGCUAGUUGGUAAGGUAACGGCUUACCAAAGCAACGAUGCAUAGCCGACCUGAGAGGGUUAAAGGCAACAUUGGAGCUGAGACCCGGUCCAGGACCCUACGGGAGGCAGUAGUAGGGAAUCGUCCGCAAUGGGCGAAAGCCUGACGGAGCAACGCGGCGUGAGUGAUGAAGGUCUUGGGGUCGUAAAGCUCUGUUAUUGGGGAACAACAUAUGUGCAAGUAACUGUGCACAUCUUGACGGUACCUAAUAAGAAAGCCACGGCUAACUACG
rnacentral:rRNA from 1 species